UACGAAGGGGGCUAGCGUUGUUCGGAAUUACUGGGCGUAAAGCGCACGUAGGCGGUUUCUCAAGUCAGAGGUGAAAGCCCGGAGCUCAACUCCGGAAUUGCCUUUGAAACUAGGUGACUUGAAUCAUGGAGAGGUCAGUGGAAUUCCGAGUGUAGAGGUGAAAUUCGUAGAUAUUCGGAAGAACACCAGUGGCGAAGGCGACUUACUGGACACAUAUUGACGCUGAGGUGCGAAAGCGUGGGGAGCAAACAGG
rnacentral:rRNA from 1 species